GCUUUCUUUCCAUUGGGAUGCCAGACUCAUGGAAUGCUGACAAGCAGCUCAGGAGAGAUGAAAUGCAGCCCAAAAUCGAGGUCCAAGCCCAUGUUACUCAUGGUGUUUCUCAGGGUGUUUCUCAGAUGUAAAGUAACUUUAUGGUCUUAGACAUGAAGAAUUUGGAGAAUUCCAGUGAACAGCAUCUAUUAUAAAACUCUUAUUCUCUGAGGAAAGGUAUUAUCUUUCUCAAAAAAGGCAGUAACAUCUUUCUCAAGGUCUUAAGGACCUGAAGAUUAAUUAAUUUCCAGAGAAAACAGAUAUUUUGUGUCAAAUGUCCUGGAUGUCAAUUUGUCAUCAGAAGAUUAUUGAUUUGCAUUUGAAACUGGAGAUGAAGAUUUCUGAUGGAGUGGAAAUGAAAAAUUAUGGCAAUGAUUCCCCAACUCAUCCUAAUAAUUGCCUAUGAGUCUCCACCAGUUUCUUGAUGAAGCUCUCUGAUGAUAAUUGGACUAGACUCUAAUAUAUAGUAAAGCACAAUAUCGUCUCUGUGGCAUCUAGACACUGUUUCCUGGAAGCAGACAUCAGCUGUAGGCUUCCACUCAUGGCAUGGACCUCAAGUUGUACCAAUUAUUCAUUUGGCCACACCAUCAUCAAUUGCAGACAGAAAAAAAUUAUAAGGAUCAGAAAUUUUGGGAAUCUGAUAUGAAAUACGUAAGAACAAAGCACAAUGUUUUUAUUUCAUGAAAAGCUCAAAUCAUUAUACUAUCACAUGUUAGCAUCUUAACACAGCACUGAAUCCAUACUGGGAUCAAAGUUGGUACCAUGGGAAUAGUUAUUUAAUAGAAAGCAGAAUAUUUGUGACAACUGCCAUUCCUAUUCAACAAAUUGGCAAGCAAUGCAUCAAAAUCAUGUAAACUCAGUAAAAAAAAGCUGAAUAAAAUACAGAAUGGCCAAAAAUAAAACUACUCAGGUCAGAAAUAUGUUUUUGAAUGUAAUGUAGCCACAACCAUGUUUUGAAGAGAAACCUCAGCACUUGGAAGAAAUAUAAUCCAAUAGCAUAACAGAAAGGAGGCUUUGUCUGGUUAUGAGGCGUGAAAGUACAAGGCAGAACUCUCCUCAGUAAAGAUUGCAACCCUCCUACAGAGAGCUGAACUGUAUGCAAGAGCCUAACCCAGCAAGGAAGACUUUCUGAGCUUACUGAUUUGGUUUUACAAAAAGAUUGACAGCAGCUCUAUUACAACCUGUAAAUUUAGCUGCAAAAUACAACUUGGUGUAUGUGGGAAAACAUGUUUAUCCAAGCAAAGAAAAAGCUUGAAAUU